rnacentral:misc_RNA from 1 species
CCGUAACUAGUAAGGGAAAACGCUAGCGCGCAAGGGCUGAAAAGCCAGCAAAGGCUUACGUAAGCGAAGGCUAAUGGAUGUCUCACACUUGCGUCUCUAAGGUCCCUUUCUUUGCUACUAAGAACCUAACAGAACUUUUCUAAAGGAAGACUUUUUCGUAGUCGUUAACGAGUGAAAGCCACUUAGCUUAACACAUUCAAUCCCUUUUGAACAGGC